UGGAAAAGGAUGUGGGAUUUCGAAGACAGCUAGGAUGUUGGCUUAGAAGCAGCCACACAUUCAAAGAGUGCGUAAUAGCUCACUAGUCGAGAGGUCCUGCGCCGAAAAUUAACGGGGCUAAAACAUGACACCGAAGCUUAGGGAUGGUGUAAACCAUCGGUAGAGGAGCAUUGAAAACGAGAUGAAGCGGUACCGAAAGGAGCCGUGGAUUGUUUUGAAGAGAGAAUGCCGGAAUGAGUAGCGAGAUGGAGGUGAGAAUCCUCCAGGCCGAAUAUCUAAGGUUUCCAGGGUAAAGCUGAUCUGCCCUGGGUAAGUCGGGGCCUAAGGCGAGGCGGAGACGCGUAGUCGAUGGACAACUGGUGUAGAUUCCAGUACCUUACUAAAUCAGAAAUGUGGGGACACAUGGAGAAAGAGAGAGCCGGGAAUGAGAAGACCGGUGCAAGGGAGGUAGGAGUGUAGUAGGAAAAGCCGCUGCACAAUCUGAAGACCUGAUGCGGAUCGAAGUUUAGUAGAGAAGCUCUUGGACUCUGUGUCGAGAAAAGCCGCUAUAGUGUUUAGUAAGCCCGUACCGCAAACCGACACAGGUAGAUGAGGAGAGAAUCCUAAGGCCGGCGGGAGAAGCAUUGUUAAGGAACUCGGCAAAAUGACCCCGUAACUUCGGGAGAAGGGGUGCCACUUUAAUAGAGUGGUCGCAGAAAAAAGGCUCAAGCAACUGUUUAGCAAAAACACAGGUCUAUGCGAAACCGUAAGGUGAGGUAUAUGGGCUGACGCCUGCCCGGUGCUGGAAGGUUAAGAGGAGAGGUUAGCGCAAGCGAAGCUUUGAAUUGAAGCCCCAGUAAACGGCGGCCGUAACUAUAACGGUCCUAAGGUAGCGAAAUUCCUUGUCGGGUAAGUUCCGACCCGCACGAAAGGCGUAAUGAUUUGAGCGCUGUCUCAACAAUGCACCCGGUGAAAUUGAAGUACCAGUGAAGAUGCUGGUUACCCGCGCCAGGACGGAAAGACCCCAUGGAGCUUUACUCCAGCUUGAUACUGGGAUUCGGUAAUGUAUGCACAGGAUAGGUGGGAGACUGAGAAGAUAGUACUUCGGUAUUAUCAGAGUCGCUGUUGGGAUACCACCCUUAUGUUAUUGGAUUUCUAACCUUAGGCCGUAAGCCGGUCAAGGGACAAUGUCAGGUGGGGAGUUUGACUGGGGCGGUCGCCUCCGAAAGUGUAUCGGAGGCGCUCAAAGGUUCCCUCAGGAUGGUUGGAAACCAUCCAAAGAGUGUAAAGGCAUAAGGGAGCCUGACUGCGAGGCUGACGGGCCAAGCAGAGUAGAAAUACGGACUUAGUGAUCCGGUGGUAUGAAAGUGGGAUUGCCAUCGCUCAACGGAUAAAAGCUACCCUGGGGAUAACAGGCUGAUCUCCCCCAAGAGUUCACAUCGACGGGGAGGUUUGGCACCUCGAUGUCGGCUC
rnacentral:rRNA from 1 species